rnacentral:rRNA from 1 species
UACGUAGGGUGCGAGCGUUGUCCGGAAUUAUUGGGCGUAAAGAGCUCGUAGGCGGUCUGUCGCGUCGGUCGUGAAAACUUGGGGCUUAACCCUGAGCUUGCGGUCGAUACGGGCAUGACUGGAGUUCGGUAGGGGAGACUGGAAUUCCUGGUGUAGCGGUGAAAUGCGCAGAUAUCAGGAGGAACACCGGUGGCGAAGGCGGAUCUCUGGGCCUUACCUGACGCUGAGGCGCGAAAGCUAGGGGAGCGAACAGG